UGGAAACACGGAUGGGUUUUUCUCUUAGUCGUUUCAUUCCUUUUUUUCUACUUCAAAACUCACACGUCUCUCCCAUUGUCCAUUUGACAGAGGAGAAGAGAGAUGGAGAGAAUCCAGAAGAGAGAGAGAAAGAGUCCGGGCAAAUGCCGCACGAAAAAUAUUAAAAAUGUAUCCCGUUCCAUUUAAAUUCAAGGUACGCAUCACUCUCCAUAAGCAGGGGCUGUCUCUUUAAAUCAGAGGAACUGUCACUUCCCUAGCUGUCUGUUUACAAAAUAGGAGGCUGAAAAUUAGACCUGGUCCCCGUGGACGACCUCCUUGUAUAAAUCUAAAUAAUAAAUAAAUAUUCGAUAAAUAAUUUCUGAAGUUUUAAUAAUGUAAGAAGUCAAAGAAUUCACUCGUCCUGUAGAAAGAAGCGGGAGGAUAAAAGGAAAAAGGAUAAUGCCUUCGUUCCAGUCAUUGGCAGCAGAGAACUGGAAGGAGAGACGACCAAAGGAGGAGUUGGCUUUAGGGGUGACCAGAGAGAUAUACCUGCUGGAGCGCGUGCUACAGGUGGGUGCAGCUAUGGUGACCAGUGAGCGGAGAUAAGGGGGGACUUUACCUAGCAGGGUCUUGUAGAUGACCUGGAGCCAAUGUGUUUGGCGAAGAUUAUGAAGCGAAGGCCAGCCAACGAGAGCGUACAGGUCGCAGUGGUGGGUAGUAUAUGGGGCUUUGGUGACAAAACGGAUGGCACUGUGAUAGACUGCAUCCAGCUUGUUGAGUAGAGUGUUGGAGGCUAUUUUGUAAAUGACAUCGCCGAAGUCGAUGGCCUACCAAAUGUGGGAAAUUAUAACAUGGCCUACCAAAUGUGGGAAAUUAUAACAUGGCCUACCAAAUGUGGGAAAUUAUAACAUGGCCUACCAAGUCAAUUAUAAGCAGAAAUUUAGGGGUGGCAGUAGCCAGAAGGCUAUAGGGUCUUCCGGUGCAGAGUAUUAGCAAAAAUAUUUAUCAUGGAAUUUUAAUGGUGUACCGAUCUGCGCAGGUAGGCUACUUUUUCAAGUGUUUCGUUUGACAAUCAGAUGAAAACAUCAUCAUCA
rnacentral:lncRNA from 1 species